rnacentral:rRNA from 1 species
GACGAACGCUGGCGGCGUGCUUAACACAUGCCAGUCGAACGGAAAGGCCCUGCUUUUGUGGGGUGCUCGAGUGGCGAACGGGUGAGUAACACGUGAGUAACCUGCCCUUGACUUUGGGAUAACUUCAGGAAACUGGGGCUAAUACCGGAUAGGAGCUCCUGCUGCAUGGUGGGGGUUGGAAAGUUUCGGCGGUUGGGGAUGGACUCGCGGCUUAUCAGCUUGUUGGUGGGGUAGUGGCUUACCAAGGCUUUGACGGGUAGCCGGCCUGAGAGGGUGACCGGCCUCAUUGGUACUGAGAUACGGCCCAGACUCCUUCGGGAGGAAGCAGUGGGGAAUAUUGCACAAUGGGCGGAAGCCUGAUGCAGCAACGCCGCGUGCGGGAUGACGGCCUUCGGGUUGUAAACCGCUUUCGCCUGUGACGAAGCGUGAGUGACGGUAAUGGGUAAAGAAGCACCGGCUAACUACGUG